rfam:Ricinus communis ctg_1100012353992, whole genome shotgun sequence.
UUUGGAUCAGUGAUGUUUAUUGAUAUACUGCGUUAUCUAUCUGAAUAUUAUUUCAUUUGAAGAAGAUAACUAUAAGAUGCUGAGAUCCUUC